UCAGAGAGCUGGGGCGCACAGGGGCGCGCAGGACGCGGAGGCGGACCAGCCGAUCCCCAGUGCGGUCGCCCGGGCAGGUGCCACGGCUGCUGCCCGGAGGCGGCAUGUGACGCGCGGCCACAGCUGCCCGCGGGCGGAGCGCGCUCGGACCCGGGAGCGCAACCGCGGGCCAAGUCGGCUGCCGCCGAGAGCCCCGCGCUCUCCACCCGCCCGGAGGAACCGCAGCUGCGCUUGCACCCAGAAACCGGGCAAUGCAGAGAAGGGCGGCUCCGGUUCACGAGCAACGCUGAGGACAGUCGCUGUCUCGGAAAGCCGUGCCGCGAGACGCAGAGGUUCGGUGGGGCGGACCGGACGGUCCGAGAGACUCGGGGAGGCGCGGAGGACCCGCGUGGGACAGCCACCUGGAACGCGACUGCCAGAUAUGGCUGCUAAUGGCAUCUACUUCAGUUCUGGACUGUGGAUUGAGUGAACCGUAUCCUUUCCCAUCAUGAUACACAACGUAAAGGCUCUCCACUUGAAACCCUUCAGCCUGGUGUAAGCCUGUCACCAUUUCCCAGAAACCAGAGGAAACCCAGAAAAUACGAGCUGUGAGUGUCUCUAAUCCAGGUGUGCUAUACAGCCAAAUUCUUCACAUCUGUGAC
rnacentral:lncRNA from 1 species